AUACGUAGGUGACAAGCGUUAUCCGGAUUUACUGGGCGUAAAGGGCGUGUAGGCGGUCUUGCAAGUCAGAAGUGAAAUUCCUGAGCUCAACUCGGGCGCUGCUUCUGAAACUGCAGGACUUGAGUGCUGGAGGGGAUAGCGGAAUUCCUAGUGGAGCGGUAAAAUGCGCAGAUAUUAGGAAGAACACCGGUGGCGAAGGCGGCUAUCUGGACAGUAACUGACGCUGAGGCGCGAAAGCGUGGGGAGCAAACAGGAUUAGAUACCCGGAUAGACCACGCCGUAAACGAUGAAUACUAGGUGUAGGGGGUAUCGACUCCCUCCGUGCCGCAGUUAACACAAUAAGUAUUCCGCCUGGGGAGUACGGCCGCAAGGUUGAAACUCAAAUGAAU
rnacentral:rRNA from 1 species